GCCUUUGUGGUGUAGUGGUCAGCACGCUCGACGCGUAUUCGAGAGGUCCGUGGUUCGAGCCCAGGCAUGGGCA
rnacentral:tRNA from 1 species